AUUGAACGCUGGCGGCAGGCCUAACACAUGCAAGUCGAGCGAGCGUCGGACGGGUGAGUAAUGUAUGGGGACUGCCCGAUAGAGGGGGAUAACUACUGUAAACGGUAGCUAAUACCCCAUACUAUCGGAUAACCCCUUUGGGAUUAGCUAGUAGGUGGGGUAAAGGCUUACCUAGGCGACGAUCUCUAGCUGGUCUGGGAGGAUGAUCAGCCACACUGGGACUGAGACACGGCCCAGACUCCUACGGAGGCAGCAGUGGGGAAUAUGGCACAAUGGGCGCAAGCCUGAUGCAGCCAUGCCGCGUGUAUGAAGAAGGCCUUAGGGUUGUAAAGUACUUUCAGCGGGGAGGCGUUACCCGCAGAAGAAGCACCGGCUAACUCCGUGCCAGCCGCCGCGGUAAUAC
rnacentral:rRNA from 1 species